rfam:Streptomyces sp. PVA 94-07 chromosome, whole genome shotgun sequence.
ACAGGAAGCCGGUGCGAAUCCGGCGCGGUCCCGCCACGGUGACCGGGCACGGCGCGGCGACGCGGGCGGGCCCGGGAGUCCGACACUG